AGCGAACGCUAGCGGGUGGCUUAACACAUGCAAGUCGAGCGGGGUCUUCGGGCCCAGCGGCGAACGGGUGAGUAACACGUAGGAUAUCUGCCUUUUGGUGGGGCAUAGCCGGGGGAAACCCCGAUUAAUACCGCAUAUGGCCUAUGGGUCAAAGCCUUCGGGCGCCAAAGAGAGGAGCCUGCGGCCCAUUAUUUAAUCCUAGUUGGUGGGGUAAUGGCCUACCAAGGGUACGAUGGGUAGCUGGUCUGAGAGGACGAUCAGCCACACUGGAACUGAGACACGGUCCAGACUCCUACGGGAGGCAGCAGUGGGGAAUAUUGCGCAAUGGGCGGAAGCCUGACGCAGCCAACCCGCGUGUGUGAUGAAGGCC
rnacentral:rRNA from 1 species